CAUACUAGCUCAUUGGUAGAGCGAUCGACUCAUAAGCGAUUGGUAGUAGGUACCGCUUCGCGGAAGCAAGCUACAACCCCUACGUAUG
rnacentral:tRNA from 1 species